UACGUAGGCAGCAAGCGUUGUUCGGAGUUACUGGGCGUAAAGGGUGUGUAGGCGGUUGUUUAAGUUUGGUGUGAAAUCUCCCGGCUCAACUGGGAGGGUGCGCCGAAUACUGAAUGACUUCGAGUGCGGGAGAGGAUAGUGGAAUUCCCGGUGUAGUGGUGAAAUGCGUAGAUAUCGGGAGGAACACCAGUGGCGAAGGCGACUACCUGGCCUGUUCUUGACGCUGAGGCGCGAAAGCUAGGGGAGCAAACGGGG
rnacentral:rRNA from 1 species